rnacentral:lncRNA from 1 species
AGGGUUUGUAGAAAGACCUUUUGUCCAACAAAUAUAGUACAACUUGGAAAAUUGGGGAAAUAUCUACAACUCUAAUCCAUAAGCAAGUGAGAACGAGAAAUUUAACAGCAACGUGGAGUCAAAAACCCAAACUGCUGCUGGGACACGAUGCUUGAAGAAGAGCAAGACCCAUCAGUUCUUUUUCUUGAGUAAAAGUACUAUGUUUAGCAUCAAAGAAUUUCAACAAGAAACUACAAGAGCUAGGAACGUAAGUCUUCUGGAAGAAUUUUGGUUUCAUAUUGUUAACUCUUCUAUUGUAAUACUAGAAUUGAGUUUGGUAUUUAACUAUGGUGGGUAACAGUAACAUGGAUUUUCAUGGUGAAAUAUACUAGUUCUUGAAUAACCAUGAACCUGGAAUUUAAAAAAAAGAAAAGGAAAAGCUAUUAAGAGUUAGUUUUGAUAGCAUUAUAGAUAGUCUAACAGAUGAUAUUUUGAGUAACACUGAGACAUGGGUAAUCGGAAUUGUGACUCGCUAUCACUUAAACUUACUGAAUUUUGCGAUUAGCAGACGGUAACAUGAACUUAUAUUAAUUUAUAGAUUUCUCAUGAAUUGAGCAUUUGGAUCGAUAAAAAGUCGUACAAAUUGCUUGAGGUGUUUGGUAUUGCGACACGAGUACGGUGAGUAGUAAUUUUACCGCAAUUUGUGUUUUCAUAACUCGCAUGAUUUACACAUAAUUUUGAUAUGAAUAUGUUACCGAUUAUUUUAAGUUGCAUGUGGGACAAGUCUUUACGCGAUAUGAUACCGAAAUAGUUGUUUGAGAUAAUCACCGUUGUUUUAAAUAUUCUUGUUGUCACUGGAUAUGUUUUACCGUUACUUGAAUUUACUGUUACCGAAAAAAAAUUACAUGAUUUUAUAAGAACCGAAAUGCCUUAUGUUGUUUUAAAAUAUUUUCCUAUGAGUAUAUACGGAUAUAGAGACAAGUAUAAAUGGGAGUACACUUUGAAGGAUCCCGUAGUUAAUGGCGGGUUCGUUAGACCUGGCAUCUUGUAUUUACAGAUUACCGAUUACAGUUAUAGCCUCNNNNNNNNNNNNNNNNNNNNNNNNNNNNNNNNNNNNNNNNNNNNNNNNNNNNNNNNNNNNAUAUUUGNCNCCUUUUACGAAGGGGUCCACACAGAGAUAUAGAUUACAUGAUCCUUUCUUGGAAACCUCCCAAACAUAAGGCUUGAUAUGACAGUGUUUAUAGAGUUUAUUACUGAAUUAUUGAUUUGUUCCUGCUCACAUGAAAACAGACAAGAUUGAUUAUUGUUACCGAAUCUGAAAAAGGGCAUUUAUUUCAUGAUAUUUUCCGAUACUAUACAAGCAUGUUUUUGACUUGUCCUCAUUAAAAACCGGUUGUGGUUAAGUGUUAUUACUCACUGAACUAGCAACUCACUCCCCGCUAUUCUUUUUUUUACAGAGACAAUAGUUGACGCGAGUAAGGAUUUCACUAAUUAGAGUAUACGAGUUAAUAGUUCCUGGUGAGCCCCGCACUUGUUCGCUUUCGCGAAGAGUUUAUUUAUUUGUUAUCGUUUUUUCUUUUGAACUCUUAGAGUCGCUCCAUAGUCAUUUUUAUUAGUCUUAUGGGAUAUUCAUUCGAUAUAUUGGGUUAGUUAUUAGUAUUGCAUUGUUUUAGAUUGAGUUUAGUAUUAUUAUGUUGAUAACAUUUGUAAUCUCUUUUUGGAUAGUUGAUUAAGAUUAUGACUCAUUUAGGUGAAUGUUGGUUAGUUGUUAUUUGUUUAUGAGACAGGAAAUUUUUUUUGGAUAGUCCUAAAACAGGGAAAAUUCUAUCCGAUUUUCUGUAAAAUACCGAUGAGACUUACUUGGGGGCACUUGCUCCUAAGCGCCGGUCAUAAUUCUAAAUUGGGUCAUGACAAAGUUGGUAUCAGAGCGUAGGUUAUUCUUGUGAUUAAUGGAGCGCACGUCGGUAGUAGAAUCUCAAUUAUGGUUAUGUAACCGGCCAUUCCCAUAAUCGUGAUUCUGCGAGGGCGUGAUAGGAUGUGUCUGGUCUUUCUUUCUUGUUCCUCCGUACGUGUGUGACGAUUAUGGUUAACUGAAUAUAUCACCUUUUAUUUUGUUCCUGUUUUGCUAGGUCCAAUCACCCAAUAAUAGAACUUGGCUAGAGGUUCAAAGAUACAAGUGUUGUCACUAGGCACCCAACUGUCUCCUAGAAAAGGAAAGCAACCGUAGUAGAAAUGCGAAUAAAAGGUGUUGUUGUACCACAAUGAGGAACUUUCAUAUCGCUAUGAUGUGUAAUAAAGUCAAUUCCUUAAGUUACCACUAGUCCACCACUAUAACAAUAGGAAAGUGUUUUCACAAAGGUAUUUACUUUGAUGAAAAAGGAAAUUGAGAUCUUGAUGGAUAUAAUGAAUAGAUAAGAGAAGAAUGGGAAAGAAAAACAGGGAUUUAAAGGCUUAAGGCACCUAAACUAACUAAGAUUAUUGAAAAGAGAGAACUAUUCUUAAUAUAAUUCCGAAAGUUGAAACUAUCAAAUUUACCAUUUCUAAUCGUUCGAAGAAUCCUCAGAUGUCAUAAUGGAAAACUUAAAGCAUUAUGGACUCUAGGAUGUAGCCAGAGGUGGGCGGUGCUAACAACUUAUAGACUGAAGAACAUGGUCAAUUUAUGGUAUGUUAUGUAUUUUAGUUACAUCCUGGGAACGAGUUUACUAAUAUAUGGUCAAUUUAUGGUAUGUUAUGUAUUUUAGGAGCACACAACUAACCUGGGAACGAGUUUACUAAUAUAUUUAUGAAUCACCUUCUUUUGAAAGUCGAUAGCGUGAAUCUACUAGGUAAGAAAUUAGUUCAGGCAACAGAUGUACUGAUAGAUGGCAUUAGACUUUCUCAGCUAGCUUAGAUACACAUCAUCUCAAGUUUAGAGGCUUGUCUAAGAGUUGCUUAGUCUUGUAAACAAGAUCCUUCUAGAAAAACUAAAAACAUGACGUGAUAUGCAAGUUUUAAAGGCAAAGCACAAGACUGGGAAAUUCCUUCGAUGAGCAUUUUAAUACGGGUCGAACAAUUGAAAACAAGGAUAAUGAAAUGCUGAAUAAAUUGUUUAGAUUGUUGCUCAUGUUUUAGGAUUCGAGGUAACCAAACAUGUUUAACAAGAUUGUCAAAUUUAAGUUGAGCAUAAAUUUAUCCUAGGUGGCUCGAUAUUACUUUAUAUGAUCUACUUUGAAAUGCCAAUAGAUAUGGAUUAAUUAGCUUCUUAUUAUGACACCCUUGAAUGCCAUACAAAUGUAGUUGAGUUUCAAUCAUCAAAAUUAAUCUAUUUUUUUCGUACAAGUUGCAAAGAUAGAUAAGAUUAGAUUAUAUAUAAAAGCUCAAUAUUACUAAAGAAUAAUUGUUAGGGUUCUCUAGCUAUGAUAAAAGAGAUAACGGAUAAGACUCCUAGCGGGGAAAAGGUACCAAUAUCAAUAGAAUUCUUUGAUGUAUUUUUGAAGAUUUAAUAGGACUACUUCUAGUGUGAAAUACAAAGUUUAUUUGACACAUGACAUUAUAUAAAAAGAAAAAAAACCCGUACUUUAUGACACGAACGGAGUUGGAAAGGGCUAAAGGAAGAAAAGAAAAAUUGCAAGACUACUAGAUAAGAGUUUAUUUGAUCGAUUAUAUUUUCUUGGGGUGCACCGGAGAUAUUUGUGAAAAAGAAACAUGGGUCUUUAAGGAUGUGCAUCAGCUAAAAGCAGUUUAAAUAAGGUAAUAUUGUACCACAUGUAUACAUUGCUAGAAUCGCAGGUCUUUAGGAUGUGCAUCGACUAAAAGCAGUUUGAAUAAGGUAAUACUGCACAAUAUGUAUACGUUACCUCCUAUAACUGACUUGCUUAAUCAAUUGCUUAGAAUCCAAAAAGAAGAUAUUCCUUAAACAAUAGUCCGAACUCGGCACGGUAUCAUGAGUUCCUUGCGAUUCCCUUCGGACUUACCAACGCUCCAGCUGCAUUCUUGGGCUUAAUGAAUAGGUUGUUCAUGUUAUUUAAGACAGAUUUAUCAUAACUUUUAUUAAUGAUAUUCUGCUAUAAUCUUGUAGCCAAGAAGAAUAUGAAGAUUAUUUGAGAAUUGCAUUGUAAAUGUUACAAGAAUAUCGGUUCUAUUCUAAGUUCUCCAAGUGCGAAUUUUGGCUAGACUCAGUAGCUUUUCUUUGGCAUGUUGUAUCCGAAGAUGGAAUUAUGGUGGUCAAAAUGACAUACACAGUUCAAAAAUAGUCAAGACCUACUACUCCUACAAAGAUUCACAACUUAUUGAACUUGGCAGGCUAUUGCAGGCACUUCGUGCAUGAUUUUCUUUUUCUAGAAUAGCAGUGCCACUAAUCAAGUUAACGCAUCAAAAUGAAAAAUUCUAGCGAAUAGAGGAAUGUGAGAGGGCUUUUAUAAGCUUAAAAAAAUCAUGUUUGACAACAACUCCAGAAUUAGCCUUACCAUCAAGUUCUAAAGGACUCACGAUAUUCGGUAAUACUUUGAGCGUGAGAUUAGGAUGUGUUUUUAUGUAAGAAAUGGUCACAUUAUAGCUUAUGCUCCAAGACUAUAAAAAUCACGAGAAAAAAAUAUCCUACUCAUGAUUUGGAGUUAGCCGCAAUGGUUAUUGAUCUGAAGGUUGGAUGCUUUACUUAUACGGCGAAACUUAUGAGAUUCAUAAUGACGACAAGAACUUAGAGUAUAUUUUCCAGCAGAGAAACUUGAACCUUCGGUAGUGUUGGUGGAUGAAAAUUCUUCAAGACCAUGAUUGUUCCUUUGGGUAUCAUUAUGGAAAGACUGAUAUUGUGGCUGAUAUAUUGAACGAAAAAGUUUAUGGGCAGCUUAGCACAUAUAGUUAUACCAAAAGGACCUUUGGCUAAAAAUAGGUAGAGACUAAAGGGUACAUAUCAAAUUUAGUGUGGAGAAUGUAGAGAUAUUAUUGGCUUGUGUUAAAGCCAAAUCUUCACUAGCAGAGCACAUAAAGUCCACUAAAUAUAAAGAUGAGCGAUUAAGUAAAUAUCGAGAUGAGGUCCUAGCUAGUACAAAAAAAAAAAAACAAGAAGGAUAUGACUAUUGAUAGUCAUGGUAUUCUUUGGCUAGGUAAUCACUUAUGUGUAUAAAAUAUAGACGGAUUAAUAGAGUUAUUAUUGAGGAGCUCACAACUCUAUAUACUCCGUAUAUUCGGGGUCCAAUAAGAUGUACCAUGACUAGAAGAAAAUGAUAUUUGUGAGAAAAGAAAGACAAAAAAAAAUAAAAAUCCUUAACUUGUUUCUGACUAUUUGACUUAUUAGCAUGUCAAGGCAAGCAUUUGCGACUCGCAGGCCAUUACAACAACUCGAGAUUCCAAAGUAAAAAUUGAACAGAAUUAUAAUGAAUUUUAUGAUAGAACUACCUCAAAUAUUUAGAGGUUAUGAUUAUGUUUGAAAAAAUGUAAAUUGGUUGCAUGGUGGGCACAUUUCUUGCUAGUCAAAACUUCAAGAAAUGAGGUAAAAUAUGCACAUAUAUGCAUGAAUGGAAAAGAAAAAAAAAUCCGACUCCUUGGGAUUUUAUUGUCCCACAUUUCUGAUAGAGAUUCACAAUUUACCGUAUACCUUUGAUAUAUCUUUCCAACAAGUGUUGAGUAUACGAGUAGAUCUUUGUAAUGCCUCUCAUUCUCUGUCAGAUGGGUAACCAAAACGUAAUGCACAAACCUUGGAGAAUAAAAUAGUUGAGAUGCUUAUUGACCUUUUUACUUGAGUUUGUUUAUAACAAUAGCUUGUAGUUAAGCAUCCAGAUGGAUCCAUAUAAAGCCUUGUCGGAUUGUUUUAAGUCGGUGAUACUAAAGUCUUAAGACUAUACUUACAGGAAAACAAAAUAGGACUAGAGUUGUUAUAAGAAGCUACUGAUAAGUUCAUUUGACUUAAAUAUGAUUGCUCACAUCACAAAGCAGACAAAAGUUUGGUGCAGAUAACAGAAAAAUAGACGUAGAAUUUAUAGCAAGAGACCAAGUGAUACUACGAGUCUCCCCUAUGAAAAAUGUGAUGCAAUUUGAAAAAACAAAAAGAGGGAAGAUGAAUCCAAGGUUUAUAAGAUUAUAAGAGUUACUUCAAGGGAUAGGAAUCGUGCUUCUCGUUUGACACUUCUUCCUAAGUUAUUUUUUUCAUCUAGUGUUCGGUGUUCCCAUUCUAAGAAAAUGUAUAUUGGACUUCUGUUAUGUACUUGAAGUACCGAUUAUCCAACUUUGAUGAGAAAUUAACUUGUAGAAGCGUCAAUCGCUAGUGUUGACAGACAAAUAAGUUACGAUCAAUAGAAUUUAUGUUCGUGAAGGUCUUAUGGAACCUAUUUCAUUGAAAAAGCUACUCAAGAAGUGGAAAAUACUAUGUGAGUCAGAUAUUCUGGUAUAUUUUAAUCUACAUGAAUGCAAUUAAUUUGAAAUUCGGGGACUGAAUUUCAUAAGAGGGGAAGAAUGUAAUAACCCAUAAUUUUAACCAAGGACAAAUUGGUCAUUUAGCAACAAAAAAAAGGAAAGAGGCCAAAGCCCAUCAGAUGUGUGGCGUGGAUUUAAUAAGGGUUUGUAGAAAGACUUUUUGUCCAACAAAUAUAGUACAACUUGGAAAAUUGGGGAAAUAUCUACAACUCUAAUCCAUAAGCAAGUGAGAACGAGAAAUUUAACAGCAACGUGGAGUCAAAAGCCCAAACUGCUGCUGGGACAUGAUGCUUGAAGAAGAGCAAGACGCAUCAGUUCUUUUUCUUGAGUAAAAGUACUAUGUUUAGCAUCAAAGAAUUUCAACAAGAAACUACAAGAACUAGGAACGUAAGUCUUCUAGAAGAAUUUUGGUUUCAUAUUGUUAACUCUUCUAUUGCAAUACUAGAAUUGAGUUUGGUAUUUAACUAUGGUGGGUAACAGUAACAUGGAUUUUCAUGGUGAAAUAUACUAGUUCUUGAAUAACCAUGAACCUGGAAUUUAAAAAAAAAGAAAAGGAAAAGCUAUUAAGAGUUAGUUUUGAUAGCAUUAUAGGUAGUCUAACAGAUGAUAUUUUGAGUAACACUGAGACAUGGGUAAUCGGAAUUGUGACUCGCUAUCACUUAAACUUACUGAAUUUUGCGAUUAGCAGACGGUAACAUGAACUUAUAUUAAUUUAUAGAUUUCUCACGAAUUGAGCAUUUGGAUCGAUAAGAAGUCGUACAAAUUGCUUGAGGUGUUUGGUAUUGUGACACGAGUACGGUGAGUAGUAAUUUUACCGCAAUUUGUGUUUUCAUAACUCGCAUGAUUUACACAUGAUUUUGAUAUGAAUAUGUUACCAAUUAUUUUAAGUUGAGUGGGACAAGUCUUUUACUCGAUAUGAUACCGAAAUAGUUGUUUGAGAUGAUCACCGUUGUUUUAAAUAUUCUUGUUGUCACUAGAUAUGGUUUAUCGUUACUUGAAUUUACUGUUAUCGAAAAGAAAUUACAUGAUUUUAUAAGAACCGAAAUGCCCUAUGUUGUUUUAAAAUAUUUUCCUAUGAGUAUAUACGGAUACAGAGACAAAUAUAAAUGGGAGUAAACUUUGAAGGAUCCUGUAGCUAACGGCGGGUUCGUUAGACUUGGUGCACCUUGUAUUUACAGAUUACCGAUUACAGUUAUAGCCUCGCUAGUGGGAAGGUAGAACUAGCAUACAGUUACAGUUUUUCCCUCAAGUAGGGACCUACAAUUAUAUUUGACUCCUUUUUACGAAGGGGUUCACACAGAGAUACAGAUUACAUGAUCCUUUCUUGGAAAUCUCCCAAACAUAAGGUUUGAUAUGACAGUGUUUAUAGAGUUUAUUACUGAAUUAUUAAUUUGUUCUUGCUCACAUGAAAACCGACAAGAUUGAUUGUUGUUACCGAAUCUGAAAAAGGGCAUUUAUUUCAUGAUAUUUUCUGAUAAUAUGCAAGCAUGUUUUCUGACUUGUCCCCAUUAAAAACGGUUGUGGUUAAGUGUUAUUACUCACUGAGCUAGCGACUCACUCCCCGCUAUUCUUUUUUUACAGAGACAACAGUUGACGCGAGUAAGGAUUUCACUAAUUAGAGUAUACGAGUUAAUAGUUCCUGGUGAGCCCCGCACUUGUUCGCAUGGGCGAAGAGUUUAUUUAUUUGUUAUCGUCUUUUCUUUUGAACUCUUAAAGUCGCUCCAUAGUCAUUUUUAUUAGUCUUAUGGGAUAUUCAUUCGAUAUAUUGGGUUAGUUAUUAGUAUUGCAUUGUUUUAGCUUGAGUUUAGUAUUAUUAUGUUGAUAAGGUUUGUAAUGUUGGUGAAAACUCUUUUUGGCUAGUUGAUUAAGAUUAUGACUGAUUUAGGUGAAUGUUGGUUAAUUGUUAUUUGUUUAUGAGACAGGAAAUUUUUUUUGGAUAGUCCUAAAACAGG